UGGAGGAAAGCUCUGGAGGUGUGGAGCUGCCUCUUUUUCUCAGUUGUUACAAGAACGUAUGCAACUCUCUCAGAAACACUACUCUGACUCAGGCAGAUUAAGUGGUAUUGUCUCUGAGGAACUGUGAUGAGGUAUCAGGGACAGAAGAUACUGAUGCAGUAUGUUUUAAAUGCAAUCAAUCUGUAUGACUUAAGACAAAAAACAUCACUCACACUCGUACACAUCCAGUUGGCAAAGCCUGUGAUACCCAUGGAACAGCCCACAUAGUUGGAUCCUUUCUCAAGCACUAAAAACAUACCAAGAAGAAAAGAAUUUAACUUUUUCUGUUAGCCUGAAAACACAUGAAUUUUUAGAAGGACUAUUAAUUGGUAUCCUGAACAUAUGGCAACUCCUUGCAUUGCCUAGGGAAGCUCUUGGCUUUCCAGUAGAAAACCUAUUAAACCAGUAAUGAGGGACUGGGUGUAUAAAGUGUUUAUGAGUUUCCCAUCUGUAGGCCAGACAGAAACAUCUCAUACCAAGUAUUUUGCUGUGUCAUCAACCCAUCUGCAGAACUGUCUUGUUGACCCCAGGUACGCAAUGUACUUGGCAAGCAAGAAAGAAACACAGAUGACAGGGGGAAAGGGGAGAGGUGAAGAAAGGAAGAUGGGUGCAAAAGGAAAAGAUAUAAGUGCUGAGCUUCCCACUCUCUGCAAUGCUGUCAGCCUGAACCAUGCAGACAUCUGGUGUGCAAGCAAAUUAUAGCCAAGGCAAAUUCUGUCUUGUAGUUAAGUUUGUCAUUCUCUCUGUCUUGCUUGCUUGUAUCCUCUUGCUCUUUCUUCCUCACUUGUUUUCUCUCUUUCUUUCUCACUCUUUAUUUCUUAAUUUCUUUUUUUUUUUUUCUUUCUCCAGCACCUGUCUUUGUAAUAAAUUAGUGGUCCAGCAGCCUUGGAUUAAUCCCAGAGGGAAAGAAUUGGAAGGCUACAGUGUGAUGACAACCCCAUGGCUAACAGCUAGACUCAUAAAGCCCUUUCUCAUUAAAGCAUUUCAGUUUUUAUGAUGGAAACCAAUCCAUCACAGUCA